rnacentral:rRNA from 1 species
UGUGAGGCGUGAAGCUAACCAGUACUAAUUGCCCGUGCGGCUUGACUAUAUAAGAGA